rnacentral:rRNA from 1 species
UCCAGACUCCUACGGGAGGCAGCAGUGGGGGAUAUUGCACAAUGGGGGGAACCCUGAUGCAGCGACGCCGCGUGGGUGAAGGAGCGUUUCGGCGCGUAAAGCCCUAUCGGCAGGGAAGAAGAUGACGGUACCUGACCAAGAAGCCCCGGCUAACUACGUGCCAGCAGCCGCGGUAAUACGGAGGAUGCGAGCGUUAUCCGGAUUUAUUGGGUUUAAAGGGUGCGCAGGCGGAAGAUCAAGUCAGCGGUAAAAUUGAGAGGCCCAACCUCUUCGAGCCGUUGAAACUGGUUUCCUUGAGUGAGCGAGAAGUAUGCGGAAUGCGUGGUGUAGCGGUGAAAUGCAUAGAUAUCACGCAGAACUCCGAUUGCGAAGGCAGCAUACCGGCGCUCAACUGACGCUCAUGCACGAAAGUGUGGGUAUCGAACAGGAUUAGAUACCCCAGUA